AGUCAGUAACACCACAGCAGGAGGUGAAAGAGGGAGAGCUGGAGGCAGGAAGAGAGAGGUGGAGGGAGGAAGAGGGUGCUAAAGUGCAGCAAAGAAUCUCGCCUGACAAUAGAAGAGAGCAAUGCAGAAACGUGUGACACCGCAAAACGGAGACGAAGGGAACAUUUUUGCCUGCGUGCGUCUGUAUGUGCGACAGGGAUUGGGGCGCACAACUGCAAAAAGAAAAGAGAGGAAGACAGGAAAUGCAGAGGGGAAGACUGAUAAUCUGGAUCACCUCCAGUUAUCAGCAGCUGAUUUCAGGAAGCCUUGGGCCCAACUUCCUUUGUCUCUCCACAGUCAGCCCUCUACCUGAAGUCUUUCAGCAUAUGUUCCCUUCAUCCAUAAAAACUCCAACGAGGAUCUUCUUGCCGGAAGGUGAAAAUCUUCCCCAUUUGGCCACUGUCCUGAUAGUAGUAAAUGCUUUCAAAUGUAAAAUGCAUGUUUAUUCUCACUGGUUACACAGCCCAAAAUUGUUAUCAUUCUUAUUUUAG
rnacentral:lncRNA from 15 species